rnacentral:sRNA from 1 species
ACUUAUCGAUGGAGCUCUCCUCCUCCCGGCUCCAUCGGGGAUCGGCGACACUCCUCCUCCCAGUUGCCGAUCAGGAUCGAAAGCCCGGCGUCCUCCCACGCCGGGCUUUCUCU